CUCUCUCUCUCUCUGUGACAAGUCUCUCUUGUACGCAUAGAUUUGUACUCGAAGCUGCACUUCAAUCAACCUCCAUUGAUAUCUUCUCCCAACCUCCAAGAAGAAGAAGAUCGCAGAAGAACAAUUCCAUUCCAAUCCAAUCCCAUGGCGCAUGUUGAUCACGCAUUUUCCAUAUCAAAUGAAGACACCAUGACGGACUCCGAUUCUUCUUACUCCCAACACAACCGCCCUCCAGUCAAAGAGAUCGGUCUUGCCAUCGCCCUCCUCAUAUUCGGCAUCGUCGGCGUCGUCUCUGCAUCUUCAUGUCCAUCAAUCGCGUAGGCGGUGACACUGGUCACGGGCUAUUUUUUUGUGAUUUUAGGGGAUAUGCUGUUAAUACCGGGGUUUUAUCAUACGUGGAUUGCUUACUACGCAUACAAGGUUACAAAGGUUUUUCUUUCUCCAACAUACCUCCUGUUUAUGGUUUCAGUAUUGUUGAAUCCCUUCGUUGUUCCUGUAUGUACGUAUGUUUGUUUGUCUUCGUCUCUCUUUGUUUGUAUAAUUCAACUGGUUUUGAGUCGUUUUAGUAUAUAGUUGUCAAAUAAGAAUACAAUGUAACAACAACUAUUGAUUUUCUUUUGGAAUAAGAAAUGUGAAAUUUGUCAAA